GCUAAUACCGCAUAACGCCUACGGGCCAAAGAGGGGGACCUUCGGGCCUCUCGCGUCAAGAUAUGCCUAGGUGGGAUUAGCUAGUUGGUGAGGUAAAGGCUCACCAAGGCGACGAUCCCUAGCUGGUCUGAGAGGAUGAUCAGCCACACUGGAACUGAGACACGGUCCAGACUCCUACGGGAGGCAGCAGUGGGGAAUAUUGCACAAUGGGCGCAAGCCUGAUGCAGCCAUGCCGCGUGUAUGAAGAAGGCCUUCGGGUUGUAAAGUACUUUCAGUUGUGAGGAAGGUGGUGCCGUUAAUAGCGGUAUCAUUUGACGUUAGCAACAGAAGAAGCACCGGCUAACUCCGUGCCAGCAGCCGCGGUAAUACGGAGGGUGCGAGCGUUAAUCGGAAUUACUGGGCGUAAAGCGCAUGCAGGUGGAUGACUAAGUCAGAUGUGAAAGCCCCGGGCUCAACCUGGGAACUGCAUUUGAAACUGGUCGUCUAGAGUACUGUAGAGGGGGGUAGAAUUUCAGGUGUAGCGGUGAAAUGCGUAGAGAUCUGAAGGAAUACCGGUGGCGAAGGCGGCCCCCUGGA
rnacentral:rRNA from 1 species